rnacentral:lncRNA from 1 species
CACAUGUUAAAUGAGUCUCACAAAAUGUAAAAAACGUUUUUCUUAAUAAAAAUAAUUAAAACUUCAAAAAUUAAUUAUUUUGGAGCUUUGGAACUUCAAUAAUUCAUAAUAAAUAGCCCUUUUAUCAGACAAAUUCGAACCACAUGUCUUUGCCAUAGGAAAUUCCAUUCUCUACAACUUUGCAGAAGAAAAUUUUUCCAAAUUCCAAACAG